rnacentral:misc_RNA from 1 species
AAGUCGUAACAAGGUAAAUGUGGAUGUGAGUGUAAAAUCGACCCUUUUUGGCUGGUUUAUGCUUGCUGAAGCCAAAAUGUGUAGAUUUAACACGCUCGAAUCACCAUGUCAGAAUUUCAUAGCUGGCGUUAUUGUAUUCAAUUUACACCAACUAGUCACCUGAACUUCUAAUAGUUGUCUUAUGACUGUUGACUGUCGACAUUCGUGUCGCCUUCAACACGUUUAUAUUUCAUAUAUAAACACAAUAACAACUCUUUGCGAUGGAUGUCUAGGCUCUC